UACGUAGGGUGCGAGCGUUGUCCGGAAUUAUUGGGCGUAAAGGGCGCGUAGGCGGCUCUGCACGUCCGUUGUGAAAUCGCCCGGCUCAACUGGGCGGGGUCAGCGGAUACGGCGGAGCUUGAGCAAGCUAGGGGGCAAUGGAAUUCCCGGUGUAGUGGUGGAAUGCGUAGAGACCCGGAGGAACACCAGUGGCGAAGGCGGCUUCCUGGUCUGCAACUGACGCUGUGGCGCGAAAGCUAGGGGAGCAAACGGG
rnacentral:rRNA from 1 species